CCCCUCUUAGUGUCACACCCUGGAGAGUUGCCAGUACUCUACCAGUCUCUGCUACAGGAGGGAGAGUCAAGCAGAGGCCUAUCCAUUCCAUUCUUAGCUUGGGCAGUGGCUAGCGAGUGGAAGGCAAUCUGCUACAAGU